UAGGGAAUCUUCGGCAAUGGACGGAAGUCUGACCGAGCAACGCCGCGUGAGUGAAGAAGGUUUUCGGAUCGUAAAGCUCUGUUGUUAGAGAAGAACGUUGGUAGGAGUGGAAAAUCUACCAAGUGACGGUAACUAACCAGAAAGGGACGGCUAACUACGUGCCAGCAGCCGCGGUAAUACGUAGGUCCCGAGCGUUGUACGGAUUUAUUGGGCGUAAAGCGAGCGCAGGCGGUUCUUUAAGUCUGAAGUUAAAGGCAGUGGCUUAACCAUUGUACGCUUUGAAUACUGGAGGACUGGAGUGCGGGAGGGGAGAGUGGAAUUCCAUGUGUAGCGGUGAAAUGCGAAGAUAUAAGGAGGAACACCGGUGGCGAAAGCGGCACUCUGGUAUGUAACUGACGCUGAGGCUCGAAAGCGUGGGGAGCAAACAGG
rnacentral:rRNA from 1 species